ensembl:lncRNA
GUAACUCUUACUUCAUAAGAAGAGGGCAAAAUUUGACUGUUUCCAGAGAACACUAUCAUCAUUUCUCACAACCUGCUGUCAAGAUUACUACUAAAAGGCAAGGGGGAAAAAAAGAGGAGAUGAAGGACAACAACAAAGUGCUACCUCUGUGCAGAGCGCUGAAUCAAUACUUCGAGAAAACAGCCUUUGUGUAAACAGUAGGGCUUGAAAGGCUGAUGGGAGAAGAACAGGAUCAAGUCAAGACAGGAGCAGAGCCAGGCGAUCAACUGCAGAGUGGGCUCUCAAUUAUUCAUUGUUACAUCCCCUACUGCUGGAAUCCAGCAGCAGCUGGAUCCCAGGCAGUUCAAUACAUCUUAAAGGACUGCAACAUUUGGUACUGAUGGGCUUAACAUGUAAAGUGUAAUUGCACAUUGUUCAGAAACAGAAAUCAGUGAUAUUACUCAGCCUGCUACAAAAACUAAUUGCACAGAAUUUAAAUGCUUUCCUUUCUGGCACUGUAUUUUAACACAAUUUUACUAUUCUGCUUUACCUAAUUGAUUCAGAGCUAAAGCUUGAAGGUGUAGGUAGAAACCUUCAGAAAUACAAAAUGCAACUCUUCUACAUUAUUUAACUGUGGCUUUACUGGCAGUCACAAGAGACUAGUGGGGCUUUUAUGCCUUCACUUGGACACACUUACAUGGCGUAACCUCUCCAGCACAGCUGUAAGAGUCACAUCUGUAACACAGAUUUCUUGAAGUGAAGGAAGAAUUGGACUAUUUCUAUCAGCAAUGAUACUGGCUUGGAGAGUUUAUCACACGCUCAUCUAAAUCUCUGGCAGUCUCCAUUCUGUAGAGUUACAAGUAUUUAUUUUAUUUCAUUUCUUAUUUUGUUUUUAUUUUAUUUUAUUUCAUUGGCAAAACUGCUUGAUAUUUGAAGAUAUAAGAGAGUUUUGCAAAGGAAAUGUAUUUGUAAUUAUUAUUUGAUACCUAAAUAUGCAAGUUUAGCAUAAACUGUGUUGGCCAGUAAUUUUGUUCAUAACAUAUCUGUCUUCUGUAUUUCCAACAAUCUGGUGUACAUAUGUGCUUUUGCAGCUAUGGUAGCAGUGAUAUGUUGCAGUGACAUUAUGCCUGUUAACAAGUUUUUUUUGCCAGUUUUGCAUGACACACAUGACAGCAAAUGAUGGGAUAGAAGAACAGCCUGCCUAAGCCUACUUGCACCAUCUUUCCAGUGGAAAGUCCCUUCUGUUUGAUAUUAAUGUCACAGUGAUGUACCAUGGCUUUGGCAGUAGUUGUGAAUAUUCAUGGGCUAUAAUGUAUUUGUUCUUUAGGAGGUGCUGAACUUAUGGUCUAUGAGGAUUACAGAUGACUAUUAAUUUAUUAUUAUUAUUAUUUCUGAUGAAUAACAUAUUAAGAGAAAAGGCAAAAUAUGUGAUGCAUUCAUAGAAAUUCUGCAGAGUACAACCAGUGUAAGCAGUGGUUUGGAAAAAAAAAAAUAAAAAAAGCACAAAAGCACUUGGCAUGAGUGUAUAAAAACAGGAGCUAUGCAGUUGCCUAAAAAUAAAUACAGAUAUUUUUC